rnacentral:tRNA from 1 species
UCCCUGGUAGCUUAGUUGGUAAAGAAUCUGCCUGUAAUGCAGGAGAACAGGGUUUGAUCCCUGGGUUGGGAA